GAGAGAGAGAAAGAAAGAAAGAGAGAAUUAGAGAGAGCAUAUGUGGGGUGGCCCGUCCUCUUCUGGCUGUGCCGGGUGGAGAUUAUAACAGAACAUGGCCAAGAUGUUCAAAUGUUCAUAAAUGACCAGCAUGGUCGAAUAAUAGUAAGGCAGAACAGUUGAAACUGGAGCAGCAGCAUGGCCAGGUGGACUGGGGACAGCAAGGAGUCAUCAUGUCAGGUAGUCCUGGGGCAUGGUCCUAGGGCUCAGGUCCUCCGAGAGAGAGAAAGAAAGAAGGAGAGAAUUAGAGAACGCACACUUAGAUUCACACAGGACACCGAAUUAGGACAGGAGAAGUACUCCAGAUA